AGUACUGCCCUUGGAACCAAUGCAACAAGAACGUAAGUAUCUUUUAUUAGAUUCUAUGUCUUGCCACUAUCACCGUAUUCUAUGAAAUUGGAUGGCUCAGCAAACAUAUUAUUCUGAUGGUUUUCUAGAUAUUUAGCAUUCACCAUUUUGGUUGAGGUUACAUAUAUAUGAUUAUGAUCCCAAAGUUUUUUUUCUAUUUGCAGAAACCAUCAACAAUUAAGCUGGUGGACAUUACCUUCAGGAAUAUUAGAGGAACAUCAGGGAACAAGGACGCAGUAAAACUAUUGUGCAGCAAGGGACAUCCAUGUGAGAACGUUGAGAUUGGAGACAUUAACAUUGAGUACACAGGACCUGACGGUCCACCCACUUUCGAGUGCACAAACGUCACACCUAAGCUUGUGGGAACCCAGAACCCAAAGGCUUGCGUUGGACCUGUGGUCAAGGCUCCUGGCAAAGAGUAAAAUGUUGAAGCUCAUAUCAACACACUAGGGCUUCCACAUCCAAUUUUGUUUAUUCUUUUUCUAAUCCUUUUUCAAGUCACGUAAGGGAGACUUUUACAAAGCUGUAACAAAAAAAUGUUUCUAUCCGAUGCCAACACAUAUAUAGAUGUGUGAGUGCAUAAUGAUGUAAUUAAUAAAACUAAAUUAUAUAUUCUGCGUAUGAUUGUUUCUUUUUAAAAUAUUAAUAUGCGCGGUAAGUUGUAUACACUUCAAUCUUAAUUUUGUUUUCUUUUCCGAAUCUUAAAAUUAUUUAACAAGAUCUGAUUUCAACCUUAAGAUUAAUUUAACUAAUACAGUAUUAGUUUUUUUUUUUUGAGAACUCAUUUUAAACUAGAACUCAAAUCAUUUCAAUAAUAGUUCACUAACAUGUAGUAUUCUUUCCAAGUUAUACUGAACUAGAACUCAAAGAUACACUUGUUCAUACAUAACCGAUGCAAGCAUUUGGACAACGAAACAUGACAUCGUCAUAAGUAAUCUGAUUGGAAAUGUAAUUUUCAAUCAAACUUUCGCUCUUUGCUUAUGAUCUCUUUGGAAAAAAUUUCACUUGAUAAUAUGAGGUGCAUACUCUUCCUCUCUACUUUGGUUCAAUGCUCCUUAAACAUGUUGGAUACUUUUUUAGGCUUCAAUAUAAAAAAGAAGUUAGGAAAAAUUUAUUGAUAUUGUUAGUAAUAUUACUUCUAUGAUAUUGGUACUUCAAAAGAAGCAUGAGUUAUUAUAGAAACUAGGUUAAGAUCUCUGUUUUGCGCAUGAUGAAUUUUAUGUAUACAAAUGAUAUUUUUCUAUUUUUAUUAUUUAUUUUGUGUUUAUUUAUUUCAUAUUUAUAUAAUUAAAUUAGAGUAAACACAUAAAUCAAAACUAUACCUCCUUUUAUUUCUAAUUUUUUUCAUAAAUAAAUCAAUCGUUUUAUUUAUUUUAUAUGAAAUAUAAUUAAUUUGAAUGAUAAUGACAUAGAUAUCUAGUAAAAUUUAAUAUAACUUAUUAAUUGAGAUUUCCUACUCAUAUAAUCUUAUUAACAUUUGUAUAUAUUGCUGUAAAAAAAAUUAAACCAUUAAUUACAAAACUUUCAAUGUGAGAUUUAUUUCAAUACAAAAUUUUAAAUUGAAAUAUUAAGGUCUCAAUACUUUUAAAAUGUAAAUUUCAAAAUUAACGUAUUUAUGUAUUUUUAUAUGGUAUAUAGUUUAAUUUAAACGAUAUUAAGAUAUAUAUAUAUAUAUAUAUUUAAUAUGAAUAUCUAUUAAAUGAGACUUUAUAUUCAUACAAUUUUAUGAUCAUUUUGUAUCUUGUUAUAACAAAAAAAAGUAGUUAAACCAUUGAUUACAAAAUUUCAAUAUGGGCUUUUAACAUUUUUUAGUAAUUUAUAGUUUUUUAAAAUUCAUAAUAUAACAUAUAAGAAAGAGUCUAUAUUUUAAGUAUAUGGUUAAUGUGAUUGUAUAAUUUCUUUUAAUAAUAUAAAAUUAAAUAAAAUAGAUGGAGGUUACAAAAAUUGUUAUCAAAUCUUUAUUAUUCAUAAUCAUUAGUUUUCGUAUAUAUGUUAAUCAUAUUAGGUAAUUUCGUAACUUUUAUUUAGAGAAAUAAUGAAAAUAUUCUUUUGAACAUACAUUACUAAUCAAUUUGAUAGUUAGUUUAAUAAUAAGAUAUAAUAUAUGUUUCGAUAGACCAUCUAUUUUUUUAAGGAUCCUAAGCAUCAUUGUUGUAUUAAUACGUGGAUACAAAAAAAUGUUGCAAUGCUUUUCAAAUAUAUAAAUGAUUAUGUGGUUGAAAGAAAUUAGAAAAAUGCAAUGCAGUUAAGUAAUGAGGAACGAUUGAUUUUUGUUAUUAAAAGACGGAAGUCACGAACCACAUUAAUUAAAGUCAUCGAUUACUGACUGAUGACAACAUAUUUGACAAACAAUAAUAGAAGUUACAUAUAUUAACGCAUAAAGUUACAAAAUACAUAUACAUAUUUGACAAACAAUAAUAGAAGCGACGAAAUACAAACAAACACCUAAAACAAUUAAUUUUCAAAUACAGUCCAGGUUCUCCGAAAGUCGUUUGCUUUGAAAUGCUCUUUUUUAACUUAGUCAUAAACAUCUUCAUCUUUAUAACAUUAAUUAUUUCUUUUAUGAACUGGUUUGCCUUUUUUUCUUCAUGAUAUUGGGUUCAAUAGUUCCAACUUUUGCCUUUUGAAUUGUGUAAAUCUAUUUCACUAUUUGUUGACCAUUUGCAAUUCUUGCUUUUCUUUCAUCAUAUCAUUUUUUGUUGUAUACAUUUCCCUUGAAUGAUGACUAACUUAUACAAAAUUGGAAUCACUUGCAUCAUUUUCGUGGAUUCUUUUAAACCCACUUCUGCCUGACUACAAGAACAUAUUUAAUCACAGAUGAUGACGAGCCCCAUUCCAACAUGUUGAAAUGUAUAGUCUUGGCACUUGAACAUAGCUCAUGCGUUUUUUUUGUCAAUAUAUCAUUAUUCUCUGAUCAUCCAUUUUGUUACAUAGACUUUGCUAUUGUCAGUGCCAACCAUUAUUCCGAUAGUUUUUUCAUGUGGUGUAGUAAUUUUUCUAAACGAAGCAAUUACUGUUCUCUAACAAUUUUGAAAACCAACCAAUGCUAACGUCCAUAUAUAUUUUCCGCAGCCUGCACAACAGGAUUAUCAGAACGUAAAUCUCCUGAAUUUCUUUAAGUUCUAGUACCUUAUAAAAUUCUACUAACAAUUUGAUAUCUUUUUAGAUGGUGUAAAUGUAAUAACAUAAGUUGGCUAGAAACUAACCUCCCAAAAAUAGAGGUAUCAUGCAAAUGCUAUAAACACGAGUGGAACAAGUCUUAUGCCUAACAAUUGAACGCUAAUUUCCCAAAAUUAAAGUAACCUAGCUAAUACUUCCUUAAAAAUGGGUCAAACAUUCUAAAAAAUGAGAAGUUGGGAGAAAGUAUGGGCCUUCAACAUAUCUCUCCAUUUAACGCACUAUAUAAAGCAGCAGGUGCGUAGUAAAAAUCUCAGAAAACAAAAAUUAAAAGACAAUAAAAAAUAAAAAUAAAUAAAUAAAUAUGGGUUCAUAUUUGGGAAUCUAUACAAUUUUGGUUCUAUGUUUGCUAAAAUAAAAAUGGGUUCAUAUAUGGGAAUAUGUACAAUUUUUGUUCUAUGUUUGCUGGGAUAUUCAGCCAAUGCUGAGGUGUUCACCGCUGGUGGUCCUCCAAAUUCUGAUAUUACCGCGGUUAGUAUCUUCACUUGUUUUUUAUUACUUGAAUUCCAAUCAAUGUGUAAACCAUUUCUUAUAUUAACAUACUCGUGGGAGCUAUUGUUGCAGGCAGUUCUUAAAGCAUUCACAUCGGCAUGCCAAGCUCCGGCACCAAGCCAGGUGCUGAUCCCAAAAGGUGACUUCAAGCUUGGUGAGACCGUGAUGACUGGUCCAUGCAAAUCUCCAAUCGAGUUCACCUUGCAAGGCAACGUGAAAGCUGACGGUGGCUCUACCCAGGGAAAGGAUAGAUGGGUUGUGUUCGAAAAAAUUAAUGGUUUUAAGUUGAACGGAGGUGGAACAUUUGACGGUGAAGGCAAUGCAGCUUGGAAAGCCAACAACUGCCACAAGACUUUUGAGUGCAAGAAACUUCCCAUCGUAGGUGUUUCCGUCUUUAAUAUAUUAACACCAAUGGCUUUUUUUAAAGAUGAUAUAAUUCAGUGAUGCAUGCUAUCUUUCAGAGUGUAAGGUUUGAUUUUGUGGAUAACGCUGAGAUAAAAGACAUAACCUCAUUAGAUGCCAAAAACUUCCACUUCAACGUUAUCAGCGGCAAGAACAUGACCUUUGAUAACAUCAAGAUCAUCGCUCCAGCUGAAAGCCCCAACACUGACGGUAUCCAUUUGGGAAGAUGUGAGGGAGUCAAGAUCCUCAACACUAAGAUCGCCACAGGAGAUGACUGCAUCUCCGUGGGAGAUGGGAUGAAGAAUCUCCUCAUUGAGAAAGUUGUGUGCGGUCCAGGACACGGAAUCAGUGUUGGAAGCCUUGGAAGGUACGGAUGGGAGCAAGAUGUCACUGACAUUAACGUUAAGAACUGUACCCUUGAGGGAACCGACAACGGUCUGAGGAUCAAGACAUGGCCAUCUGCCGCUUGCACCACCACCGCUGCCGGUAUUCAUUUUGAGGAUAUCAUCCUUAACAAAGUUAGCAACCCAAUCCUCAUCGACCAGGAGUACUGCCCUUGGAACCAAUGCAACAAGAACGUAAGUAUCUUUUAUUAGAUUCUAUGUCUUGCCACUAUCACCGUAUUCUAUGAAAUUGGAUGGCUCAGCAAACAUAUUAUUCUGAUGGUUUUCUAGAUAUUUAGCAUUCACCAUUUUGGUUGAGGUUACAUAUAUAUGAUUAUGAUCCCAAAGUUUUUUUUUCUAUUUGCAGAAACCAUCAACAAUUAAGCUGGUGGACAUUACCUUCAGGAAUAUUAGAGGAACAUCAGGGAACAAGGACGCAGUAAAACUAUUGUGCAGCAAGGGACAUCCAUGUGAGAACGUUGAGAUUGGAGACAUUAACAUUGAGUACACAGGACCUGACGGUCCACCCACUUUCGAGUGCACAAACGUCACACCUAAGCUUGUGGGAACCCAGAACCCAAAGGCUUGCGUUGGACCUGUGGUCAAGGCUCCUGGCAAAGAGUAAAAUGUUGAAGCUCAUAUCAACACACUAGGGCUUCCACAUCCAAUUUUGUUUAUUCUUUUUCUAAUCCUUUUUCAAGUCACGUAAGGGAGACUUUUACAAAGCUGUAACAAAAAAAUGUUUCUAUCCGAUGCCAACACAUAUAUAGAUGUGUGAGUGCAUAAUGAUGUAAUUAAUAAAACUAAAUUAUAUAUUCUGCGUAUGAUUGUUUCUUUUUAAAAUAUUAAUAUGCGCGGUAAGUUGUAUACACUUCAAUCUUAAUUUUGUUUUCUUUUCCGAAUCUUAAAAUUAUUUAACAAGAUCUGAUUUCAACCUUAAGAUUAAUUUAACUAAUACAGUAUUAGUUUUUUUUUUUUUAGAACUCAUUUUAAACUAGAACUCAAAUCAUUUCAAUAAUAGUUCACUAACAUGUAGUAUUCUUUCCAAGUUAUACUGAACUAGAACUCAAAGAUACACUUGUUCAUACAUAACCGAUGCAAGCAUUUGGACAACGAAACAUGACAUCGUCAUAAGUAAUCUGAUUGGAAAUGUAAUUUUCAAUCAAACUUUCGCUCUUUGCUUAUGAUCUCUUUGGAAAAAAUUUCACUUGAUAAUAUGAGGUGCAUACUCUUCCUCUCUACUUUGGUUCAAUGCUCCUUAAACAUGUUGGAUACUUUUUUAGGCUUCAAUAUAAAAAAGAAGUUAGGAAAAAUUUAUUGAUAUUGUUAGUAAUAUUACUUCUAUGAUAUUGGUACUUCAAAAGAAGCAUGAGUUAUUAUAGAAACUAGGUUAAGAUCUCUGUUUUGCGCAUGAUGAAUUUUAUGUAUACAAAUGAUAUUUUUCUAUUUUUAUUAUUUAUUUUGUGUUUAUUUAUUUCAUAUUUAUAUAAUUAAAUUAGAGUAAACACAUAAAUCAAAACUAUACCUCCUUUUAUUUCUAAUUUUUUUCAUAAAUAAAUCAAUCGUUUUAUUUAUUUUAUAUGAAAUAUAAUUAAUUUGAAUGAUAAUGACAUAGAUAUCUAGUAAAAUUUAAUAUAACUUAUUAAUUGAGAUUUCCUACUCAUAUAAUCUUAUUAACAUUUGUAUAUAUUGCUGUAAAAAAAAUUAAACCAUUAAUUACAAAACUUUCAAUGUGAGAUUUAUUUCAAUACAAAAUUUUAAAUUGAAAUAUUAAGGUCUCAAUACUUUUAAAAUGUAAAUUUCAAAAUUAACGUAUUUAUGUAUUUUUAUAUGGUAUAUAGUUUAAUUUAAACGAUAUUAAGAUAUAUAUAUAUAUAUAUAUUUAAUAUGAAUAUCUAUUAAAUGAGACUUUAUAUUCAUACAAUUUUAUGAUCAUUUUGUAUCUUGUUAUAACAAAAAAAAGUAGUUAAACCAUUGAUUACAAAAUUUCAAUAUGGGCUUUUAACAUUUUUUAGUAAUUUAUAGUUUUUUAAAAUUCAUAAUAUAACAUAUAAGAAAGAGUCUAUAUUUUAAGUAUAUGGUUAAUGUGAUUGUAUAAUUUCUUUUAAUAAUAUAAAAUUAAAUAAAAUAGAUGGAGGUUACAAAAAUUGUUAUCAAAUCUUUAUUAUUCAUAAUCAUUAGUUUUCGUAUAUAUGUUAAUCAUAUUAGGUAAUUUCGUAACUUUUAUUUAGAGAAAUAAUGAAAAUAUUCUUUUGAACAUACAUUACUAAUCAAUUUGAUAGUUAGUUUAAUAAUAAGAUAUAAUAUAUGUUUCGAUAGACCAUCUAUUUUUUUAAGGAUCCUAAGCAUCAUUGUUGUAUUAAUACGUGGAUACAAAAAAAUGUUGCAAUGCUUUUCAAAUAUAUAAAUGAUUAUGUGGUUGAAAGAAAUUAGAAAAAUGCAAUGCAGUUAAGUAAUGAGGAACGAUUGAUUUUUGUUAUUAAAAGACGGAAGUCACGAACCACAUUAAUUAAAGUCAUCGAUUACUGACUGAUGACAACAUAUUUGACAAACAAUAAUAGAAGUUACAUAUAUUAACGCAUAAAGUUACAAAAUACAUAUACAUAUUUGACAAACAAUAAUAGAAGCGACGAAAUACAAACAAACACCUAAAACAAUUAAUUUUCAAAUACAGUCCAGGUUCUCCGAAAGUCGUUUGCUUUGAAAUGCUCUUUUUUAACUUAGUCAUAAACAUCUUCAUCUUUAUAACAUUAAUUAUUUCUUUUAUGAACUGGUUUGCCUUUUUUUCUUCAUGAUAUUGGGUUCAAUAGUUCCAACUUUUGCCUUUUGAAUUGUGUAAAUCUAUUUCACUAUUUGUUGACCAUUUGCAAUUCUUGCUUUUCUUUCAUCAUAUCAUUUUUUGUUGUAUACAUUUCCCUUGAAUGAUGACUAACUUAUACAAAAUUGGAAUCACUUGCAUCAUUUUCGUGGAUUCUUUUAAACCCACUUCUGCCUGACUACAAGAACAUAUUUAAUCACAGAUGAUGACGAGCCCCAUUCCAACAUGUUGAAAUGUAUAGUCUUGGCACUUGAACAUAGCUCAUGCGUUUUUUUUGUCAAUAUAUCAUUAUUCUCUGAUCAUCCAUUUUGUUACAUAGACUUUGCUAUUGUCAGUGCCAACCAUUAUUCCGAUAGUUUUUUCAUGUGGUGUAGUAAUUUUUCUAAACGAAGCAAUUACUGUUCUCUAACAAUUUUGAAAACCAACCAAUGCUAACGUCCAUAUAUAUUUUCCGCAGCCUGCACAACAGGAUUAUCAGAACGUAAAUCUCCUGAAUUUCUUUAAGUUCUAGUACCUUAUAAAAUUCUACUAACAAUUUGAUAUCUUUUUAGAUGGUGUAAAUGUAAUAACAUAAGUUGGCUAGAAACUAACCUCCCAAAAAUAGAGGUAUCAUGCAAAUGCUAUAAACACGAGUGGAACAAGUCUUAUGCCUAACAAUUGAACGCUAAUUUCCCAAAAUUAAAGUAACCUAGCUAAUACUUCCUUAAAAAUGGGUCAAACAUUCUAAAAAAUGAGAAGUUGGGAGAAAGUAUGGGCCUUCAACAUAUCUCUCCAUUUAACGCACUAUAUAAAGCAGCAGGUGCGUAGUAAAAAUCUCAGAAAACAAAAAUUAAAAGACAAUAAAAAAUAAAAAUAAAUAAAUAAAUAUGGGUUCAUAUUUGGGAAUCUAUACAAUUUUGGUUCUAUGUUUGCUAGGAUAUUCAGCCAAUGCUGAGGUGUUCACCGCUGGUGGUCCUCCAAAUUCUGAUAUUACCGCGGUUAGUAUCUUCACUUGUUUUUUAUUACUUGAAUUCCAAUCAAUGUGUAAACCAUUUCUUAUAUUAACAUACUCGUGGGAGCUAUUGUUGCAGGCAGUUCUUAAAGCAUUCACAUCGGCAUGUCAAGCUCCGGCACCAAGCCAGGUGCUGAUCCCAAAAGGUGACUUCAAGCUUGGUGAGACCGUGAUGACUGGUCCAUGCAAAUCUCCAAUCGAGUUCACCUUGCAAGGCAACGUGAAAGCUGACGGUGGCUCUACCCAGGGAAAGGAUAGAUGGGUUGUGUUCGAAAAAAUUAAUGGUUUUAAGUUGAACGGAGGUGGAACAUUUGACGGUGAAGGCAAUGCAGCUUGGAAAGCCAAUAACUGCCACAAGACUUUUGAGUGCAAGAAACUUCCCAUCGUAUGUGUUUAUGUCUUUAAUAUAUUAACACCAAUGGCUUUUUUAAAGAUGAUAUAAUUCAGUGAUGCAUGCUAUCUUUCAGAGCAACUGCCACAAGACUUUUGAGUGCAAGAAACUUCCCAUCGUAGGUGUUUCCGUCUUUAAUAUAUUAACACCAAUGGCUUUUUUUAAAGAUGAUAUAAUUCAGUGAUGCAUGCUAUCUUUCAGAGUGUAAGGUUUGAUUUUGUGGAUAACGCUGAGAUAAAAGACAUAACCUCAUUAGAUGCCAAAAACUUCCACUUCAACGUUAUCAGCGGCAAGAACAUGACCUUUGAUAACAUCAAGAUCAUCGCUCCAGCUGAAAGCCCCAACACUGACGGUAUCCAUUUGGGAAGAUGUGAGGGAGUCAAGAUCCUCAACACUAAGAUCGCCACAGGAGAUGACUGCAUCUCCGUGGGAGAUGGGAUGAAGAAUCUCCUCAUUGAGAAAGUUGUGUGCGGUCCAGGACACGGAAUCAGUGUUGGAAGCCUUGGAAGGUACGGAUGGGAGCAAGAUGUCACUGACAUUAACGUUAAGAACUGUACCCUUGAGGGAACCGACAACGGUCUGAGGAUCAAGACAUGGCCAUCUGCCGCUUGCACCACCACCGCUGCCGGUAUUCAUUUUGAGGAUAUCAUCCUUAACAAAGUUAGCAACCCAAUCCUCAUCGACCAGGAGUACUGCCCUUGGAACCAAUGCAACAAGAACGUAAGUAUCUUUUAUUAGAUUCUAUGUCUUGCCACUAUCACCGUAUUCUAUGAAAUUGGAUGGCUCAGCAAACAUAUUAUUCUGAUGGUUUUCUAGAUAUUUAGCAUUCACCAUUUUGGUUGAGGUUACAUAUAUAUGAUUAUGAUCCCAAAGUUUUUUUUCUAUUUGCAGAAACCAUCAACAAUUAAGCUGGUGGACAUUACCUUCAGGAAUAUUAGAGGAACAUCAGGGAACAAGGACGCAGUGAAACUAUUGUGCAGCAAGGGACAUCCAUGUGAGAACGUUGAGAUUGGAGACAUUAACAUUGAGUACACAGGACCUGACGGUCCACCCACUUUCGAGUGCACAAACGUCACACCUAAGCUUGUGGGAACCCAGAACCCAAAGGCUUGCGUUGGACCUGUGGUCAAGGCUCCUGGCAAAGAGUAAAAUGUUGAAGCUCAUAUCAACACAUUAGGGCUUCCACAUCCAAUUUUGUUUAUUCUUUUUCUAAUUCUUUUUCAAGUCACGUAAGGAGACUUUUACAAAGCUGUAACAAAAAAAUGUUUCUAUCGAUGCCAACACAUAAUGUGUGAGUGCAUUAUGAUUUAAUAAAACUAAAAAGAUUUAUCUAUC
rnacentral:lncRNA from 1 species